UUAUUUUUCACUAUUUUUCUUCCAAGCAAGCAUUUUUUUUUUCAUUCUUUCUAUUUUUGUUCUUUUCUUUCACAUCAAAUAUACAAAACGGAUGUUUAUUUUCUACAUUUUCUAUACAUAUAUUUUUCUAUGCUUGCUCGGUUUUUCUUUUCUUUUUUCAAGAGUUGUGGUACUUACCAAUUCUUUUUCGUUCUCCCCAACUUAUUUCUUCCACACCCUAAGUGAAUGCUCUUAACUUUUUACGGCAAAAGACAAUAAACAAGAUUUUCCGGGUUGUGUAAAAAAAAAGAUUUUUGAGAUCUCGC
rnacentral:lncRNA from 1 species